rnacentral:rRNA from 1 species
AUUGAACGCUGGCGGCAUGCCUAAUACAUGCAAGUCGAGCGGAUGAAGGAAGCUUUCUCCUGUAUUCUGCUGCCGACGGACGAGUAAUUCCUAGGUAUCUGCCCUGCAUUUGAGGCUAACGUCAGUUAGCGGGCCCUAAUAUCGCAUACGUCGUUAUUUUGAAAGGGGUGGUUCUUCGGUGCACGCGCUUCCAGAUGACCCUAAUUCGGAUUAGCUAGUUGGUUUGGUAAGGGCCUACCAAGGCGACGAUCCGUAACUGGUCUGAGAGGAUGAUCUGUCACACUGGAACUGAGACACGGUCCAGACUCCUACGGGAGGCAGCAGUAGGGAAUAUUGCACAAAGGGCGAAAGCCUGACGGAGCAACGCCGCGUGAGUGAUGAAGGUCUUCGGAUCGUAAAGCUCUUUAAGUAGGGAAGAACAGAAGUGAGAUUAACCCUUGACGUCUUGACGUUACCUAAACAGAAAGCAACGGCUAACUUCGUG